GGUGGUUGCCAAUGAGGCCCUUCAGGUAUGUAAAUCUUUGUUGAGCCUCUUUUAUAGAUGUUUCUUCAUAGUCAGCGUUGGCAGGAUGAUCCAAUGUAGUUCACCAUCAUAUCAACAUCAUCAGAUUUGUACAUGAUGUCAUGGUGGUCCAGGAGACGUCCCUUAACGGGAGAUGCAGAAAAAAUGCAUAUCAUCUAUUAUGUUGUGAUCUCCCUAACAGAUAUGGAAGUUGUUGGUCUUCCCAGACCACCU
rnacentral:lncRNA from 1 species